UUUCACUCUUCACCGUUUAUCAUUUUCUUCGGCAAUCAAUUUGUACAGCCGUUUCUACAUUCCGAAAUCUGGAUGUUCACUCUUCCUCAUCACCGUUUCACUCUUCACUCAUUCCAGCCGUUUCACAUCAGGCCGUUUUCAAAAGCCUCUUCUCACAAUUCUAUGGAUUCUGCAGCACAAUUUUCGAUUCGUUCCAGCCGCUCCGUUGUUGCCCCUGACGCCUACAAAAUCGUUUUUCUUCUUCUUUUCAUCUUAACGCUGACCAUUGGAGUUUGCACAUACAGAGUCAAUUUCGUUCUUAUUACGGAAACCCUAUAGAUUGUGGUUUUCGAUCUUCCUUUCUUCUGAGCACUGUAAAGGAUGCAAAAGCUGAAUUAAUGUGGAGCACAGGGAAGCUUCCAUGCAUGCAAAUUUGAAACCUGUUUCAGUUCUGUUCUCUGGGUCUAAGGUGAGUGGAAAACGAAGCAAGGGGAGCGAAGAUCGUAGAGCACGAUCGUUCUCUCCAACUGCGGUUGUCAUCUUCGUGAUUCGCAUUUUUCGUCUUCCACUCCGCAGUUGAUUUUGAGUAGGAAGCAAGUGUUUCGUCUUUAUGGAAGCAAACGGUAUGGAAGCAAACGGGGUGACGCACAAGCAUGAAGAGCAGUUUCAAAAGGAUCAUUGAUGAAGCAAACGGGUCAUCUCAAGGAAAAGGGGCGCAGAUUCCCAGCAUCAGACCUUACAGUGAAGCUGAUGAGAUGGAGCGUAGUGCUGUAAGAGGAGGUAGAGGCAUUGCUGAAUGAGAAGAUGAAAAAGGGAAAUCCUUAUGAUAAUAAGGUCUAUUUCAUCUUACUAAUUCUAUUUAAUCAAUUAUUAUUCUUUUUCUUUUUUCUUUUUGAGUGUUGUUGUAGACCUUAUAUUAUGUGGGUUUUGUUGUGACCCCACUUUUUAAUUUGUAGAAAAAGACCGAGCAGAUGACAGAUCUUAUAAAUCAGCUUAUUUAAUUUUCUUAAAUAGUCAUCCAUCCUUUGUCCUAUCAGUAUUUUAUUAAUUUUCAUAGUCACAUUCUGAAACAGGUAAGAAUAUAUAAUUUUCUUCAUUAUCUUCCAUUCAGUGCUCUUUGUUUUUUAACAAAUUGAAACUCAUCACAAUGAUACCUCCUGUUGUGCAGAAAUGGACGUCAAGUUGAGGCAAAUGUUUAAGCUUAUUGAUUUGGAGAUAGUAAAAUGGUGUAGCAUUUGUUACUCUUUAUUUUUCUUUUGCUUGCAAUUCCAUUGCCUCCUUUAAUCCAGGAUUCAAUUGUUCGGUGUCAACAAGAUAUAGUUUGAGCAGUGCAGAGAAUAAUGUGGUAUUUGCACAGGCGAAUGUCAGUACUUCCGAUGAACAAAACUUUUAGUUGUUAAGCAGGAAUGCAUGAUGUUUCCAUUUGUUAUCCCCUUAUUGCUUAACAUCUUAACAACAAGAUAUAGUUAUUUAUACUUCACCAAUCUCUAUUAUAGAUAAAGUAAAUUUAGUGUUCUUGAUAUAUAAUCUAUGUGCGUGUUCAUAUUAGUGUUCAUAUUUGUGAUAAUAAUACACAUUUGAGGCUUGAUUUAAAAAAAGUUCUAGCAUGUUACUUUAGCAGAAUUUCUAAUCUUGCCUUUUCUUACUUUAGCAGAAUUUCUGGACUGGCAGCCCCCUAUUUGUAUUCUAUGAUGGAGUCAACGAGGAAAAUGACAUGCUAGAUUAAUUUUUCUCUAGAUAACUAGGUUGGGAACUGGGGAUUCUGUAGCUGGAGAAGACCAAUCUCUUUCACUGUUGUGGGGAAAGCUUUUUUCAAGCCUUGGUCCUUUGAUCUUGAUAUAACUCAGGGAUAAGCAUUAAGUCCCUUGCAAUGAUAGAAAUACUUAUCUGCUUUCAUCCAAUAGUAUAAGGGUAACAGUAAACUUUUUUUUUUGUCAAAAUUAAUGUGACAUUGCUUUGACCAAACUAAGAUUUUACAUGUACAAUUGCAAAAUGCAUUUGAAGUAGCUAAUGUAGAUGUGAUGAUGAAUACUACCACUAAAAUAAGAAUUGGUUUAAAGUCAUUGUUGAGUUCCUAUUAGAGGAAAGGGAAAUAUGAUUCUCUCAUUUGAUUGGAAGA